CCUACGGGAGGCAACAGUGAGGAAUAUUGGUCAAUGGACGAGAGUCUGAACCAGCCAAGUAGCGUGAAGGAUGACUGCCCUAUGGGUUGUAAACUUCUUUUAUAAAGGAAUAAAACGAGGUACGUGUGCCUUUUUGCAUGUACUUUAUGAAUAAGGAUCGGCUAACUCCGUGCCAGCAGCCGCGGUAAUACGGAGGAUCCGAGCGUUAUUCGGAUUUAUUGGGUUUAAAGGGAGCGUAGAUGGGUUGUUAAGUCAGUUGGGAAAGUUUGCGGCGCAACCGUAAAAUUGCAAUUGAUACUGGCAGUCUUGAGUACAGUUGAGGUAGGCGGAAUUCGUGGUGUAGCGGUGAAAUGCUUAGAUAUCACGAAGAACCCCGAUUGCGAAGGCAGCUUACUAAACUGUGACUGACAUUGAUGCUCGAAAGUGUGGGUAUCAAACAGGAUUAGAUACCCUAGUAGUC
rnacentral:rRNA from 1 species